ensembl:lncRNA INHBA-AS1 INHBA antisense RNA 1
GGUGUCCAUUUCUGGAACUGCUAUUUGUAUAUUGCAUGAUAUUUUAUCAGGAAAAAAUAUAAAACAGAUCUAAUUUCAUGAAAAUGCUGUUGCCAUAAUGCUCAGGAGAACAGGGGGAAGAGAGAGAUUCAAGUCUUCCUAAUGUCUACCUUAUAUGCAGAGCCUUGGAAAGAUGGGCAAAUGCUCUGUGACAAGCCACCAGGGUAGACUGGUACUGAAAAGACCCUACUACACACAGGGGCUCUGUCCCUGGCUGGAAAGUUACAAGUCAGCCUACCUCUCUGUGAUCUGGUUUCCACACCUACUACUCUUUAUCCCAUGAGGAGCUUCUGGAAACUAAAAUAGCAGCUGCCCAGGUAGAAGAGUGUUGACCAAAGGACACAUCACCAGCACAGACUGUUAAUCAUGUGACUAGAGAAAACUCUCAUGGUGGCAUUCAAAUUUCCAUAUCCUUCUUCUAUGGAAAUUUCUGAGAGACCCAGAAAAGAAGCGUAACGACGAGGGAAAGUGAUUCCUGCAGACCUGAACAUUCCAGACUUACCAGGUGAUCCAGCUGUCUGUCAGCGGGAAGAGGCUGAGGCGCCCCCUUCUGGUGCAUCUGAAUAGUAAGAAACCCUGUGUAGAAAGAAACCCUGUAGCAAUUGGGCACCUUCUCCGUGAUCUGUCUGCUUCCAAUACCAAAAAUUGUUGCUUUUUAAAUGACAUCCAUCCUAAGCUUAAAAAAGACGCAUAUUAUUUGUAUAAAAUGUUGAAGACGCAGAACAAAAAAUGUAAAUCACAUGUAAUCAUCCCUUCCAGAAAUAAUCGUUAUUAAAAUUUCUGUGUAUGUGUAAAAAAAAAAAUUGCAAUCCUACUGUAAUAUAAUCCUGUAUACUGAUAUUUUUCACCUAUCACUGUAUGUUGAGCAUUUUCAAUAGUCAAAUUAUUUCUUGAAAAUAUUAAUGACUGGGGAGUAACCUUUCAAAUAGGUGUGUCUUUAUUUUUAAACCAGUCCACAAUUAUUGUAUAUUGAAGUCAUUUCCCAAAUUUUGUAAGUAUAAGUAUUGCAUCCAUCCUUAUAUGUAUUUAAAUGCAUCUCUUAUUAUUUCCUUGAGAUAAGUUCCUAGAAGUGGAAUCACUGGAUUUAAAAAUGUGGACAUAUUUAUGCCAGACGCGGUGGGUCAUGCCUGUAAUCCCAGCACUUUGGGAGACUGAAGCAGGUGGAUCACUUGAGGUCAGGAGUUCAAGACCAGCCUGGCCAACAUAGUGAAACCCCAUCUCUACUAAAAUUACAAAAAUUAGCCGGGUGUGGUAGUGCACGCCUGUAAUCCCAGCUACUCAGGAGGCUGAGGCAUAAGAAUCACUUGAACUCAGGAGGCGGAGGUUGCAGUGAGCCAAGAUGGCACCACUGCGCUCCAGUCUGGGCGACAGAGUAAGACUUCAUCUCAAAAAUAAAUAAAUAAAAUUAAAAUUAAAUAAGAUAAAUAAAAAAUAAAAAUGUGGACAUAUUUAAAUCUUCAUAUAUAUUACCAAAUGCCCUCCUGAAAGUUUUUACCUGUUACAUUCCAACCAAUAGUGUAAGGGCAUGACUCUUUCCCUGUGUUUUGGGAUGGAUGUUAUCAAAGUUCUCUCCCACCCAGGCCAAGUAUGGUAUAUGCUUUGAUUUAAUUUGAAUUUUUAAAUUAUUAUUUAAAAUGGACAUUUUGUUGUCCAUUUGAACAACUUUCUUUUGAGUCACUGUUCAUGUUCUUUGCCCAUUGUUUCUCUUUUAUUAGUAAGAACCCUAUUGUCAUUUUUAUAUUUUAAAUAAAAUUUCAUUGUAUAUACAUUUAUAUUAUCUAUAGUAAAGUAUAUUUUAUUAUUAAUGAGAACUUUUUAUAUUAAAGAUCCUAACCUAC